GCAACGAUGCGUAGCCGACCUGAGAGGGUGAUCGGCCACACUGGAACUGAGACACGGUCCAGACUCCUACGGGAGGCAGCAGUAGGGAAUCUUCCGCAAUGGGCGAAAGCCUGACGGAGCAACGCCGCGUGAGUGAUGAAGGUCUUCGGAUCGUAAAACUCUGUUAUUAGGGAAGAACAAAUGUGUAAGUAACUAUGCACGUCUUGACGGUACCUAAUCAGAAAGCCACGGCUAACUACGUGC
rnacentral:rRNA from 1 species